UGGGACAGCCCUGGAAACGGGGUCUAAUACCGGAUACUGACCCGCUUGGGCAUCCAAGCGGUUCGAAAGCUCCGGCGGUGCAGGAUGAGCCCGCGGCCUAUCAGCUUGUUGGUGAGGUAAUGGCUCACCAAGGCGACGACGGGUAGCCGGCCUGAGAGGGCGACCGGCCACACUGGGACUGAGACACGGCCCAUACUCCUACGGGAGGCAGCAGUGGGGAAUAUUGCACAAUGGGCGAAAGCCUGAUGCAGCGACGCCGCGUGAGGGAUGACGGCCUUCGGGUUGUAAACCUCUUUCAGCAGGGAAGAAGCGAAAGUGACGGUACCUGCAGAAGAAGCCGGCUAACUCGUGUCCAGGCAAGCCGCCGGUUAUAUCGUAUAAGGGCCGCCGAGAGCGUUAUCCGGAAAUUAUUGGGCGUAAAAGAGAGCCGUAAGGCAGCUAUGUCCACCGUCCGAGUUGUGGAAAGCCCGGGGCUUAAACCCCGGGUCCUGCAGUUCGAUCGGGCAGGUAGGAGUUCGUAGGAGAUCCGAAUUCCUGUGUACGGUGAAAAGCGCAGAUAUCAUGAGAGAACCCGGUGGCGAAGGCAGGAUCUCUGGGCCCGAUCUGACGCUGAGGAGCGAAAGCGUGGGGAGCGAACAGAUUUAGAUAUCCCUGGUAGUCCACGCCGUAAACGGUGGCACUAGGUGUGGGCGACAUUCCACGUCGUCCGUUCCGCAGCUACCAUUAAGUGCCCCUGCCUGGGGGAGUACGGCCGCAAGGCUAACUCAAAGAAUUGACGGGGCCCGCACAAGCGGCGGACUGUGGCUUAAUUCACGCACCGCGAGACCUCACCAAGGGCUUGACAUACACCGGAAAGCAUCAGAGUGGUCCCCCCUUGUGGCGGGACAGGUGUGCAUGGCUGUCUCAGCUCGGUCGGAGAUGUUGGGUUAGUCCGCAACGAGUCCAACCUCUUUGUCCCGGUGUUGCCAGCAGGCCUGGGGGGCUGGG
rnacentral:rRNA from 1 species